rnacentral:rRNA from 1 species
CAAGGGCAACCGGCGAACGGGUGCGUAACACGUGAGCAACCUACCGAGAUCUGGGGGAUAGCCGGCCCAACGGCCGGGUAAUACCGCAUACGCUCUUUCCACGGCAUUGUGGAUUGAGGAAACCUCCGGGGGAUUUCGAGGGGCUCGCGGCCUAUCAGCUAGUUGGCGAGGUCACGGCUCACCAAGGCGACGACGGGUAGCUGGUCUGAGAGGAUGGCCAGCCACAUUGGGACUGAGAAACGGCCCAGACUCCUACGGGAGGCAGCAGUGGGGAAUAUUGCGCAAUGGCCGAAAGGCUGACGCAGCGACGCCGCGUGUGGGAGGAAGCCUUUCGGGGUGUAAACCACUGUUGCCCGGGACGAACAGCUCCUUCAUGGAGCCUGACGGUACCGGGUGAGGAAGCACCGGCUAACUCCGUGCCAGCAGCCGCGGUAAUACGGGGGGUGCGAGCGUUGUCCGGAAUCACUGGGCGUAAAGGGCGCGUAGGUGGCUUGGUAAGCGCGUGGUGAAAGCCCGGAGCUCAACUCCGGGUCUGCCGUGCCGACUGUCAAACUCGAGGACUGUAGAGGCAGACGGAAUUCCGGGUGUAGCGGUGGAAUGCGUAGAGAUCCGGAGGAAGACCGGUGGCGAAGGCGGUCUGCUGGGCAGUUUCUGACACUGAGGCGCGACAGCGUGGGGAGCAAACAGGAUUAGAUACCCUGGUAGUCCACGCCGUAAACGAUGGGUACUAGGUGCCUGGGGGAGCGACCCUCUGGGUGCCGGCGCUAACGCAGGAAGUACCCCGCCUGGGGAGUACGACCGCAAGGUUGAAACUCAAAGGAAUUGACGG